rnacentral:rRNA from 1 species
AGAGUUUGAUCCUGGCUCAGGAUGAACGCUAGCGACAGGCUUAACACAUGCAAGUCGAGGGGCAGCGGUGGAGAGAGCUUGCUCUCUUCAGCCGGCGACCGGCGCACGGGUGAGUAACACGUAUGCAACCUGCCCUUGACACUGGGAUAACCCGGAGAAAUCCGGACUAAUACCGGGCGACACCUUCGGAGGGCAUCCUCCUUAGGUCGAAGGAAGCGAUUCCGGUCAAGGAUGGGCAUGCGGCGCAUUAGCUAGUUGGCGGGGUAACGGCCCACCAAGGCGACGAUGCGUAGGGGUUCUGAGAGGAAGGUCCCCCACAUUGGUACUGAGACACGGACCAAACUCCUACGGGAGGCAGCAGUGAGGAAUAUUGGUCAAUGGGCGCGAGCCUGAACCAGCCAAGUCGCGUGAGGGAAGACGGCCCUACGGGUUGUAAACCUCUUUUGUCGGGGAGCAAGGACUGCCACGUGUGGCAGGGCGAGAGUACCCGAAGAAAAAGCAUCGGCUAACUCCGUGCCAGCAGCCGCGGUAAUACGGAGGAUGCGAGCGUUAUCCGGAUUUAUUGGGUUUAAAGGGUGCGUAGGCGGAAGUUCAAGUCAGCGGUAAAAUCGAGGGGCUCAACCCCUUUAAGCCGUUGAAACUGGGUUUCUUGAGUGGGCGAGAAGUGUGCGGAAUGUGUGGUGUAGCGGUGAAAUGCAUAGAUAUCACACAGAACUCCGAUUGCGAAGGCAGCACACCGGCGCCCAACUGACGCUGAGGCACGAAAGCGUGGGGAUCAAACAGGAUUAGAUACCCUGGUAGUCCACGCAGUAAACGAUGAACACUAGGUGUGCGGGUCGAAUGAGAUCUGCGUGCCACAGCGAAAGCGUUAAGUGUUCCACCUGGGGAGUACGCCGGCAACGGUGAAACUCAAAGGAAUUGACGGGGGCC